GCGGUCGUAACCGAAUUGGCAUAGGUGCUAGCUUGAGGUGCUAGUGGUAGUAAUACCGUAUGGGUUCAAGUCCCAUCGUCCGCACCA
rnacentral:tRNA from 1 species